rnacentral:rRNA from 1 species
CAGCCGUAAACUAUGCGCGUUAGGUGUAUCGGUGACCACGAGUUACCGAGGUGCCGAAGGGAAACCGUGAAACGUGCCGCCUGGGAAGUACGGUCGCAAGGCUGAAACUUAAAGGAAUUGGCGGGGGAGGCACCACAACGGGUGGAGCCUGCGGUUUAAUUUGGACUCAACACCGUAAACUACACCAGGGAAGGACUGUUACAUGAAGGCCGAGAUGAAGACUCUGCUAGAUUUUCUAGAGAGGAGGUGCAUGGC